AUGAACGCUGGCGGCGUGCCUAAUACAUGCAAGUCGAGCGAACGGACGAGAAGCUUGCUUCUCUGAUGUUAGCGGCGGACGGGUGAGUAACACGUGGAUAACCUACCUAUAAGACUGGGAUAACUUCGGGAAACCGGAGCUAAUACCGGAUAAUAUUUUGAACCGCAUGGUUCAAAAGUGAAAGACGGUCUUGCUGUCACUUAUAGAUGGAUCCGCGCUGCAUUAGCUAGUUGGUAAGGUAACGGCUUACCAAGGCAACGAUGCAUAGCCGACCUGAGAGGGUGCUCGGCCACACUGGAACUGAGACACGGUCCAGACUCCUACGGGAGGCAGCAGUAGGGAAUCUUCCGCAAUGGGCGAAAGCCUGACGGAGCAACGCCGCGUGAGUGAUGAAGGUCUUCGGAUCGUAAAACUCUGUUAUUAGGGAAGAACAUAUGUGUAAGUAACUGUGCACAUCUUGACGGUACCUAAUCAGAAAGCCACGGCUAACUACGUG
rnacentral:rRNA from 1 species